rnacentral:rRNA from 1 species
GACGAACGCUGGCGGCGUGCUUAACACAUGCAAGUCGAACGGAAAGGCCCUGCUUUUGUGGGGUGCUCGAGUGGCGAACGGGUGAGUAACACGUGAGUAACCUGCCCUUGACUUUGGGAUAACUUCAGGAAACUGGGGCUAAUACCGGAUAGGAGCUCCUGCUGCAGGGUGGGGGUUGGAAAGUUUCGGCCGUUGGGGAUGGACUCGCGGCUUAUCAGCUUGUUGGUGGGGUAGUGGCUUACCAAGGCUUUGGCGGGUAGCCGGCCUGGGAGGGUGAACGGCCACAUUGGGCCUACGGUAGGGACCAGACGCCUACGGUAGGCAGCGGUGGGGAACAUUGCACAAUGGGCGGAAGCCUGAUGCAGCAGCGCCGCGUGCGUGAUGACGGCCUUCUGGUUAUAAACAGCUUUCGCCUGUGACGAAGCGUGAGUGACGGUAAUGGGUAAAGAAGCACCGGCUAACUACGUG